rnacentral:rRNA from 1 species
AAUCUUCCGCAAUGGGCGCAAGCCUGACGGAGCAACGCCGCGUGAGUGAGGACGUUUUUCGGAACGUAAAGCUCUGUUGUACCCGACGAAGGGCCUUCUAUGAACAAGAGGGGUUAAUGACGGUAGGGUACGAGGAAGCCACGGCUAACUACGUGCCAGCAGCCGCGGUAAUACGUAGGAGGCAAGCGUUGUCCGGAAUUAUUGGGCGUAAAGCGCAUGUAGGCGGUGGAUUAAGUCUGUCGAGAAACUGCGGGGCUCAGCCCCGUAUGGCGAUGGAAACUGGUUUACUCGAGUGCAGGAGAGGAAAGGGGAACUCCCAGUGUAGCGGUGAAAUGCGUAGAUAUUGGGAAGAACACCGGUGGCGAAGGCGCCUUUCUGGACUGUGUCUGACGCUGAGAUGCGAAAGCCAGGGUAGCGAAC